GAUGAACGCUGGCGGUGUGCCUAAUACAUGCAAGUCGAGCGAACAGACGAGGAGCUUACUCCUCUGACGUUAGCGGCGGACGGGUGAGUAACACGUGGAUAACCUACCUAUAAGACUGGGAUAACUUCGGGAAACCGGAGCUAAUACCGGAUAACAUGUUGAACCGCAUGGUUCAACAGUGAAAGACGGUCUUGCUGUCACUUAUAGAUGGAUCCGCGUCGCAUUAGCUAGUUGGUAAGGUAGCGGCUUACCAAGGCAACGAUGCGUAGCCGACCUGAGAGGGUGAUCGGCCACACUGGAACUGAGACACGGUCCAGACUCCUACGGGAGGCAGCAGUAGGGAAUCUUCCGCAAUGGGCGAAAGCCUGACGGAGCAACGCCGCGUGAGUGAAGAAGGUCUUCGGAUCGUAAAACUCUGUUAUUAGGGAAGAACAAAUGUGUAAGUAACUAUGCACGUCUUGACGGUACCUAAUCAGAAAGCCACGGCUAACUACGU
rnacentral:rRNA from 1 species